rnacentral:rRNA from 1 species
AUGUUGCUCUCGGCCUCGGUGAACUCCAUCUCGUCCAUGCCCUCGCCCGUGUACCAGUGCAGGAAGGCCUUGCGCCGGAACAUGGCCGUGAACUGCUCGCUCACGCGCCGGAACAUCUCCUGGAUGGACGUCGAGUUGCCGAUGAAGGUGGACGCCAUGGACAGGCCCCUGGGCGCGAUGUCGCACACGCUCGACUUGACGUUGUUGGGGAUCCACUCCACGAAGUAG